GGUCAAAAAUUUGAGACUACAGCAGAAGUGAUCAUGGUGCAGCCCUGUCAGAUUCUAAAGAAUCUGCACAUUCUGCU
rnacentral:ribozyme from 1 species